GAAGGUGAAAAUGCACUUUCAACCAGAGGAUUUUGAAACUGAUGCCAGGUCACCAAACGUUGAAAAGUCAUGCUAUUCCAUCGAUUUUCCCUUUCACUUCAAAGAGGAAGGCAUCCAUCAGCCAAUAUAAGUGCAGCAGAAAAUAAAUCGAGCUGAGGUAACGUAGCUAACUAGCUAUUGAACUACAUCUGUUUAUGUAAACCAAAAUAGAGCUCAGUAGCUCUCAUAAUAUGCUUGCUGACAUUCCAGAGCAAAUCAAUGUAAUUAGCCAGCUGCUGUCUUGCGAUGUGAUUUUUAAGUUUGCAAGCUAACGUUGGCUUUGUUAGGUUACAUUAGCUGCAGCCUACCGGACCGUAUCUAACCAAUAUCUAGCUAGCUAGCUAACUAACUACCGCAGAGGCAAAGGUGGCUAUGAGUUCUAUUUCGAGUCCGAUUCAAUCAACAUCUGCAGCAGCAUCAACAUCAAGCUCAGCACCAGGAACUAGUACUAAUCCUGCUGCUGAUGAUGACAACCUCUCCACCAGCUUUAACAGUAGACCCAUUGGAUGAAAGCUUUCAGCUGGGAACAAACUCAAGCUCAACAUAAUCUGACUCGGAAAACAAGCCGGGACAGCCGAAGGAGACUUGCAGUACAAACAAAUCUUCUGCAAGAGGUGGGUGGUUAAGAAGGUGUACGAGCCCAGAACCCACUACUUCAGGGAGAGACUUGUCCACCUGACUGUGGAGCAAAGAAAGGACCAGAGAGUUGUCUACAAGGAGCCAGAGUCACAGCUCCCCAAACUCAACAUCCCUGCCAACAUCGCCACAGCGCCAGAGCCUGCUAAACCGGCUGCCAUGACCCAACACAAGACAAGGUUCACCAGCUGAAGAACAUUCUGGAACAUUAAACCAACUCAACAUCCCUAUUCAAUUAGACUGAUGUUGUAGUAUAAUAUAGAAUACCUAGGAUGCUCACAACAACAUUGUGGUAUAGAUAUUGCUAGCUCUUGUACAUAUGUUUCAUACAUAUGCUUAAAAAGUCUGAUGCGAAGGAUUUACUUCAGACAGGAUUUACCCUCAUCCACAUAAUUCACAAGAGAAAGAGUGGGUAAUCUGCCUUUACCGUCGGUCCUAUUAGCUAACGUUCAAUCAUUGGAUAAUAAAAUAGACAAACUAUGAUCGCGUAUAUUCUACCAACAGGACAUAAAAAAAUGUAAUAUCUUAUGUUUCACUGAGUCAUGGCUGAAUGACUACAUGAAUAACAUACAGCUGGCGGGUUUUAAGCAGUAUCGGCAGAUAAGGACAGCCGCCUCUGGUAAGACAAGGGUGGGGAUCUAUGUAUAUUUGUAAACAGCUGGUGCACGAACUCUAAUGAAGGAGAUGGCUUGUGGUGAGAUAUUGUGUAGCUAAAGGUAAUCCGUCAGCCUAUUAAUUAGGAAAAUAUAAAAAAUGGCCUAUUACCUGGCUAUUCAAAAUACAAAUGGACUUUAAUUGUAGAAUAACUCCGUUAGCCGCUCUGCACAAUCAAUGAACCAACAGCGUUGCCUAGACCAGUGGUUCCCUGUGGGACAUGCCCCCUGGGGGGGUGCGACGGGUCAGCAAGGGGGGCACGGGGGUCCCCCACCUCCCAGAUGGAAAAAAUAUAUAUAAUAAUGGAACACAGUCCAGCUUUAAACUUUUUCUUGAAAGUCGUAAUAGUCGAAUGCACAAGGAGCAAAUUUGAAAUUGUUUAGUGUAUCAUCAGUUCCUCUUGUCAUGUUAGUCAUUGCAUACCUUAGAGUGCUAUUUCUAACUUUUCAUAAAUCAACUAGCCCAUGUCAGCUAAUGUUUUCUUAUCUAGGUUUUUUAGCCCAUAGAUAUUGUCAUUUUUUUUGUCACUCAUUUAUGUCUAUUUAUUUUUUGUAUUUUACCCCCCUC